rnacentral:rRNA from 1 species
AGUCAACAUGCCCAGGGGACGUGGAUAACCUCGGGAAACUGAGGAUAAACCGCGAUAGGCCAAGAUUUCUGGAAUGGAUCAUGGCUUAAAUCUAUAUGGCCCCUGGAUUGGACUGCGGCCGAUCAGGCUGUUGGUGAGGUAAUGGCCCACCAAACCUGUAACCGGUACGGGCUCUGAGGGGAGGAGCCCGGAGAUGGGCACUUAGACAAGGGCCCAGGCCCUAUGGGGCGCAGCAGGCGCGAAACCUCUGCAAUAAGCGAAAGCUUGACAGGGUUACUCUGAGUGAUUUCCGCUAAGGAAGUCUUUUGGCACCUCUAAAAAUGGUGCAGAAUAAGGGGUGGGCAAGUCUGGUGUCAGCCGCCGCGGUAAUACCAGCACCCCGAGUGGUCGGGACGAUUAUUGGGCCUAAAGCAUCCGUAGCCGGUCAUGCAAGUCCUCCGUUAAAUCCACCUGCUUAACAGAUGGGCUGCGGAGGAUACUACAAGGCUAGGAGGCGGGAGAGGCAAGCGGUACUCGAUGGGUAGGGGUAAAAUCCGUUGAUCCAUUGAAGACCACCAGUGGCGAAGGCGGCUUGCCAGAACGCGCUCGACGGUGAGGGAUGAAAGCUGGGGGAGCAAACCGGAUUAGAUACCCGGGUAGUCCCAGCUGUAAACGAUGCAGACUCGGUGAUGAGUUGGCUUAUUGCUAACUCAGUGCCGCAGGGAAGCCGUUAAGUUUGCCGCCUGGGGAGUACGGUCGCAAGACUGAAACUUAA